rnacentral:rRNA from 1 species
GAUGAACGCUGGCGGCGUGCCUAAUACAUGCAAGUCGAGCGAACAGAUAAGGAGCUUGCUCCUUUGACGUUAGCGGCGGACGGGUGAGUAACACGUGGGUAACCUACCUAUAAGACUGGGAUAACUUCGGGAAACCGGAGCUAAUACCGGAUAAUAUUUCGAACCGCAUGGUUCGAUAGUGAAAGAUGGUUUUGCUAUCACUUAUAGAUGGACCCGCGCCGUAUUAGCUAGUUGGUAAGGUAACGGCUUACCAAGGCGACGAUACGUAGCCGACCUGAGAGGGUGAUCGGCCACACUGGAACUGAGACACGGUCCAGACUCCUACGGGAGGCAGCGGUAGGGAAUCUUCCGCAAUGGGCGAAAGCCUGACGGAGCAACGCCGCGUGAGUGAUGAAGGUCUUCGGAUCGUAAAACUCUGUUAUUAGGGAAGAACAUACGUGUAAGUAACUGUGCACGUCUUGACGGUACCUAAUCAGAAAGCCACGGCUAACUACGUG